AUUGAACGCUGGCGGCAUGCCUUACACAUGCAAGUCGAACGGUAACAGGUCUUCGGAUGCUGACGAGUGGCGAACGGGUGAGUAAUACAUCGGAACGUGCCCGUGAGUGGGGGAUAACGAAGCGAAAGCUUUGCUAAUACCGCAUACGAUCUCAGGAUGAAAGCAGGGGACCGCAAGGCCUUGCGCUCACGGAGCGGCCGAUGGCAGAUUAGGUAGUUGGUGGGAUAAAAGCUUACCAAGCCGACGAUCUGUAGCUGGUCUGCGAGGACGACCAGCCACACUGGGACAGAGACACGACCCAGACUCCUACGGGAGGCAGCAGUGGGGAAUUUUGGAGAAUGGGCGAAAGCCUGAGCCAGCCAUGCCGCGUGCAGGAUGAAGGCCUUCGGGUUGUAAACUGCUUUUGUACGGAACGAAAAGAUUCUGGUUAAUACCUGGAGUCCAUGACGGUACCGUAAGAAUAAGCACCGGCUAACUACGUGCCAGCAGCCGCGGUAAGAC
rnacentral:rRNA from 1 species